rnacentral:rRNA from 1 species
GAUGAACGCUGGCGGCGUGCCUAAUACAUGCAAGUCGAGCGAACGGACGAGAAGCUUGCUUUUCUGAUGUUAGCGGCGGACGGGUGAGUAACACGUGGAUAACCUACCUAUAAGACUGGGAUAACUUCGGGAAACCGGAGCUAAUACCGGAUAAUAUUUUGAACCGCAUGGUUCAAAAGUGAAAGACGGUCUUGCUGUCACUUAUAGAUGGAUCCGCGCUGCAUUAGCUAGUUGGUAAGGUAACGGCUUACCAAGGCAACGAUGCAUAGCCGACCUGAGAGGGGGAUCGGCCACACGGGAACUGAGACACGGUCCAGACUCCUACGGGAGGCAGCAGUAGGGAAUCUUCCGCAAUGGGCGAAAGCCUGACGGAGCAACGCCGCGUGAGUGAUGAAGGUCUUCGGAUCGUAAAACUCUGUUACUAGGGAAGAACAUAUGUGUAAGUAACUGUGCACAUCUUGACGGUACCUAAUCAGAAAGCCACGGCUAACUACGUG